rnacentral:rRNA from 1 species
AUUGAACGCUGGCGGCAGGCCUAACACAUGCGAGUCGAGCGGAUGAAGGGAGCUUUCUCCUGGAUUCAGCUGCGGACUGGUGAGUAAUGCCUAUGAAUCUGCCUGGUUGUGGUUUAUAACGUCCUUAAACGGGCGCUAAUACCGCAUACUUCCUUAGGGUGAUAGUUGGGGUUCUUCUUACCUCACUCUUUCUUAUGUUCCUAGGUCGGAUUAGCUAGUUGGUUGGGUAAAGGCCUACCAAGGCGACGAUCCGUAACUUGUGUGAGAGGAUGAUCAGUGACACUGGAACUGAGACACGGUCCAGACUACUACGGGAGGCAGCAGUGGGGAAUAGUGGAAAAUGGGCGAAAGCCUGAUAAAGCAAUGCCGCGUGUGUGAAGAAGGUCUUCGGAUUGUAAAGAAAUUUAAGUUGGGAGGAAGGGAAGUAAGUUAAUAACGUGCUGUAUUGACGUUAACAACAGAAUAAGCACCGGCUAACUACGUG